GCACUGCUGAGGUGUCUAGCAAUAAGACGAAACGGUCGUCCAGUGC
rfam:Schistosoma mansoni strain Puerto Rico chromosome 1, complete genome